UGCCAGAGAGGUUUGAACCAGAGCAACCCCAUAUUGAAUAGGGGCUGGGUAAAAUGAGGCUGAGACCUACUGGGCUGCAUUCUUAGAUGGUUAAGGCAUUCUAAGUCACAGGAUGAGAUAGGAGGUUGGCACAAAAUACAGGUCUUAAAGAUCUUGCUAAUAAAACAGGUUGCCGUAAAGAAACGGACUAAAACCCACCAAAACCAAAAUGGCAGCAAGAAUGACCUCUGGUUGUCCUCACUGCUACACUCCCACCAGCACCA